rnacentral:tRNA from 1 species
GGAGAGGUGCUCGAGUGGCUUAAGAGGCACGCCUGGAAAGCGUGUAGACCUCAAAAAGGUCACGGGGGUUCGAAUCCCCCUCUCUCCG